rnacentral:tRNA from 1 species
AAGAUUUUAAGUUAAUAAAACUAUUAUCCUUCAAAGUUAAAAUUAUAAUUACUUUAUAAAUCUUA